rnacentral:rRNA from 1 species
AGAUGUAGGGGGCGAGCGUUAAUCGGAAUUACUGGGCGUAAAGCGCGCGUAGGCGGGUUAAUCAGUCGGAUGUGAAAGCCCCGGGCUCAACCUGGGAACUGCAUUCGAUACUGUUAAGCUAGAGUAUGGUAGAGGGAAGUGGAAUUCCAGGUGUAGCGGUGAAAUGCGUAGAUAUCUGGAGGAACAUCAGUGGCGAAGGCGACUUCCUGGACCAAUACUGACGCUGAGGUGCGAAAGCGUGGGGAGCAAACAGGAUUAGAAACCCUAGUAGUCC